CCUACGCGAGGCAGCAGUGGGGAAUAUUGCACAAUGGGGGAAACCCUGAUGCAGCGACGCCGCGUGAGUGAAGAAGUAUUUCGGUAUGUAAAGCUCUAUCAGCAGGGAAGAGAAUGACGGUACCUGAGUAAGAAGCCCCGGCUAACUACGUGCCAGCAGCCGCGGUAAUACGUAGGGGGCAAGCGUUAUCCGGAUGUACUGGUUGUAAAGGGAGCGUAGACGGCGAAGAAAGUCAGAAGUGAAAGCCCGCGGCUCAACCGCGGAACUGCUUUGGAAACUUGUUUGCUGGAGUACCGGAGAGGUAAGCGGAAUUCCUAGGGGAGCGGUGAAAUGCGUAGAUAUUAGGAGGAACACCAGUGGCGAAGGCGGCUUACUGGACGGUAACUGACGUUGAGGUGCGAAAGCGUGGGGAGCAAACAGGAUUAGAUACCCUAGUAGUC
rnacentral:rRNA from 1 species